rnacentral:lncRNA from 1 species
AUUGAACCCAGUACUUCGCAUGUGCUAGGCGAGCGCUCUACCGCUGAGCCACAACCCCAGCCCUUUUUUUUAAAAAAAAUAUUUUCUAGUUGUAGAUGGACCAAAUGCCUUUACGUUAGUUGUUUAUUAUUAUUUUUAAUGUGGUGCUAAGGAUCGAACCUAGUGCCUCACACAUGCUAGGCAAGUGCUUUCCACUGAGCCCCAGCCCUAGCCUCUCCACUCGACUUCUUUCUGCUGCUUCUGGUUACUGGCCUGCAGGUGGAACACACAUGGGAUUCCCAGCCCUUCACAGCUGGGUGUGAACAACCAGAUGUAAUCACAGUUUAGAAAUUACCAGCACAGAUAUUUUAGAAAAAUUCAGCCUUUUAAUUUUAGGAACUUGGUAUCUUUACGGUGAUUUUGGUUUGGAGACCUUUGAACGCAGUUUUCCUCCUGGAACUCUACUUCUCGGCAUUGCUAUGCCAGUGUGAGCUGGAGACUGAACUUCAUGAAACCUUCCUCAGAAAAUUAGAGAUGGCUGCUGCCCGUGGUCCUGGCCAGCCUCUGCACCACCAGUCAGCAGAGCCCACGUUCAUCAGGGCAGCUGUCCUCUUGCUUGUUUCUGCAUUUGCUUUAAAACAUUAUCCCCUCGGUCUUAGCUUUUCAUGACUUGUACGUCUUCAUUCCUCUCUAGCUUCAUCUUUCCUAUUUAAGUACUUAAAAGAAAGAACUGGGGAUGUAGCUGGCCUAACAGGGGCAGGUACCUGGAUUCCAUCUCUAGCAAAAAAAAGAAAGAAAGAAAAGAAAAAAACAAAAGA